rnacentral:rRNA from 1 species
GAGUUUGAUCUUGGCUCAGGAUGAACGCUAGCUACAGGCUUAACACAUGCAAGUCGAGGGGCAUCAGGAAGAAAGCUUGCUUUCUUUGCUGGCGACCGGCGCACGGGUGAGUAACACGUAUCCAACCUGCCCUUUACUCGGGGAUAGCCCGGCGAAAGUCGGAUUAAUACCCCCAUAAAACAGGGGUCCCGCAUGGGAAUAUUUGUUAAAGAUUCAUCGCUGAUAGAUAGGCAUGCGUUCCAUUAGGCAGUUGGCGGGGUAACGGCCCACCAAACCGACGAUGGAUAGGGGUUCUGAGAGGAAGGUCCCCCCACAUUGGUACUGAGACACGGACCAAACUCCUACGGGAGGCAGCAGUGAGGAAUAUUGGUCAAUGGGCGAGAGCCUGAACCAGCCAAGUAGCGUGAAGGAUGACUGCCCUAUGGGUUGUAAAACUUCUUUUAUAAAGGAAUAAAGUCGGGUAUGGAUACCCGUUUG